rnacentral:rRNA from 1 species
GACAGAGGGGUGCAAGCGUUGCUCGGAUUUAUUGGGCGUAAAGGGUAGGUAGGUGGUCUCAUUUGUCUGGGGUGAAAGCCUUGAGCUUAACUCAAGAAGUGCCCCAGAAACGGUGAGACUCGAGUCCUGGAGAGGGUCGUGGAAUUCCCGGUGUAGCGGUGAAAUGCGUAGAGAUCGGGAGGAACACCAGCGGCGAAGGCGGCGACCUGGACAGGUACUGACACUCAACUACGAAAGCGUGGGGAGCAAACAGG